UACGGAGGGGGCAAGCGUUAUUCGGAAUCAUUGGGCGUAAAGGGCGCGUAGGCGGCCCCAUAAGUCAGUGGUGAAAGCCUCCAGCUCAACUGGAGAACUGCCAUUGAUACUGACGGGCUUGAGUACAGACGAGGUUGGCGGAAUUGAUUGUGUAGCGGUGAAAUGCAUAGAUACAAUCAAGAACUCCGAUUGCGUAGGCAGCUAACUAGGCUGUAACUGACGCUGAGGCACGAAAGCGUGGGGAGCGAACAGG
rnacentral:rRNA from 1 species